UAGGAAUUGGCGGGGGAGCACCACAACGGGUGGAGCUUGCGGUUUAAUUGGAUUCAACGCCGGAAAUCUUACCGGGACCGACAGCAAUAUGAAGGCCAGGCUGAAGACUUUGCCGGAUUAGCUGAGAGGUGGUGCAUGGCCGUCGUCAGUUCGUACUGUGAAGCAUCCUGUUAAGUCAGGCAACGAGCGAGACCCACGCCCACAGUUGCCAGCGUACUCUCUGGAGUGACGGGUACACUGUGGGGACCGCCGCUGCUAAAGCGGAGGAAGGAAUGGGCAACGGUAGGUCAGUAUGCCCCGAAUAUCCCGGGCUACACGCGAGCUACAAUGGUUGGUACAAUGGGUAUCUACCCCGGAAGGGGACGGGAAUCUCCUAAAACCAAUCUUAGUUCGGAUUGAGGGCUGCAACUCGCCCUCAUGAAGCUGGAAUCCGUAGUAAUCGCGUUUCAACAGAACGCGGUGAAUACGUCCCUGCUCCUUGUACACACCGCCCGUC
rnacentral:rRNA from 1 species